CGAACGCUGGCGGCGCGCCUUAUGCAUGCAAGUCGAACGAGAACUAGUUCAUUCGUAAGAUUGAAUUAGGGACAGUGGCGAACGGGUGCGUAACACGUGAGAAACCUGCCCUGGAGAACGGGAUAGCCCGAGGAAACUCGGAUUAAUACCGUAUAUGCUCACAGGACCACAUGGUCCAGUGAGGAAACAGUCCGCUGCUCCAGGAUGGUCUCGCGGCCUAUCAGCUUGUUGGUGAGGUAACGGCUCACCAAGGCUCUGACGGGUAGCUGGUCUGAGAGGACGAUCAGCCACACUGGGACUGAGACACGGCCCAGACUCCUACGGGAGGCAGCAGCAGGGAAUAUUGCACAAUGGGCGAAAGCCUGAUGCAGCGACGCCGCGUGCGGGAUGAAGGCCUUCGGGUUGUAAACCGCUUUCAGGAGGGACGAAAAUGACGGUACCUCCAGAAGAAGGCCCGGCCAACUAC
rnacentral:rRNA from 1 species